rnacentral:lncRNA from 1 species
UGUAACCCCGUACCAGUCCUAUGCCCCAGUCCCAGACCCAUUCAUAUCCCUAGCCAAGAGAGGGGUGUCUGUGGGACCUUACAAAAGGCUGGACGGAAGGGAAAGGGCUGGCAGGGCGAGGAGAGGAUCUAGAAAGAGAGGAGGAAAGGGAAGCUUCCUGGUGUAGUGCCUUUAUGAAGGAUUGGCAACCUCUCUCUUCCCGGCCCUGCCGAGAGAAACUACUAUCAUAUGUUACACAGCACUAAGACUCUCCUUCUCCCUCAGUCUCUCUCUCUCUCUGUCCUCCUCUCUUUCUGUGCCUACCUCCCUCUCUUUCUCUCCCUCUCUGGCUCCCCUGCUCUCCUUCUCCCUCCGUCCCUCUGACGCAGACAGACA